CUAGCAUUCACUUAGUAGUAUCAAUAGAAACUGGCAUCUGCUAUUAAUUUGCUUUCUUAGGUUGAGAGAGAAGCAAGUUGGGGUUGCUCUCCAGUCCCAUGGCCUCCAGCUCUUCCAAACCGUGCUGUAGGAAAUGUGCUACCAGAAUGACGUUAAACUGAAGAAGGCUGAGAAUCUACACGAGCUAUUUCCUGAAAGAUGCCAAGGUAUCAGUUUCCACAAUGUGGAAGGGCAGCUUGUUCCAGACUCCCAAGACCAUUUAUGCAAAAAGUGUCUCUGUUUUCA